CACAUGCAAGUCGAACGGAAAGGCCCUGCUUUUGUGGGGUGCUCGAGUGGCGAACGGGUGAGUAACACGUGAGUAACCUGCCCUUGACUUUGGGAUAACUUCAGGAAACUGGGGCUAAUACCGGAUAGGAGCUCCUGCUGCAUGGUGGGGGUUGGAAAGUUUCGGCGGUUGGGGAUGGACUCGCGGCUUAUCAGCUUGUUGGUGGGGUAGUGGCUUACCAAGGCUUUGACGGGUAGCCGGCCUGAGAGGGUGACCGGCCACAUUGGGACUGAGAUACGGCCCAGACUCCUACGGGAGGCAGCAGUGGGGAAUAUUGCACAAUGGGCGGAAGCCUGAUGCAGCAACGCCGCGUGCGGGAUGACGGCCUUCGGGUUGUAAACCGCUUUCGCCUGUGACGAAGCGUGAGUGACGGUAAUGGGUAAAGAAGCACCGGCUAACUACGUGCCAGCAGCCGCGGUGAUACGUAGGGUGCGAGCGUUGUCCGGAUUUAUUGGGCGUAAAGGGCUCGUAGGUGGUUGAUCGCGUCGGAAGUGUAAUCUUGGGGCUUAACCCUGAGCGUGCUUUCGAUACGGGUUGACUUGAGGAAGGUAGGGGAGAAUGGAAUUCCUGGUGGAGCGGUGGAAUGCGCAGAUAUCAGGAGGAACACCAGUGGCGAAGGCGGUUCUCUGGGCCUUUCCUGACGCUGAGGAGCGAAAGCGUGGGGAGCGAACAGGCUUAGAUACCCUGGUAGUCCACGCUGUAAACGGUGGGUACUAGGUGUGGGGUCCAUUCCACGGGUUCCGUGCCGUAGCUAACGCUUUAAGUACCCCGCCUGGGGAGUACGGCCGCAAGGCUAAAACUCAAAGGAAUUGACGGGGCCCCGCACAAGCGGCGGAGCAUGCGGAUUAAUUCGAUGCAACGCGUAGAACCUUACCUGGGUUUGACAUGGAUCGGGAGUGCUCAGAGAUGGGUGUGCCUCUUUUGGGGUCGGUUCACAGGUGGUGCAUGGCUAUCGUCAGCUCGUGUCGUGAGAUGUUGGGUUAAGUCCCGCAACGAGCGCAACCCUUGUUCACUGUUGCCAGCACGUUAUGGUGGGGACUCAGUGGAGACCGCCGGGGUCAACUCGGAGGAAGGUGGGGAUGACGUCAAGUCAUCAUGCCCCUUAUGUCCAGGGCUUCACGCAUGCUACAAUGGCUGGUACAGAGAGUGGCGAGCCUGUGAGGGUGAGCGAAUCUCGGAAAGCCGGUCUCAGUUCGGAUUGGGGUCUGCAACUCGACCUCAUGAAGUCGGAGUCGCUAGUAAUCGCAGAUCAGCAACGCUGCGGUGAAUACGUUCCCGGGGCUUGUACACACCGCCCGUCAAGUCAUGAAAGUUGGUAACACCCGAAGCCGGUGGCCUAACCGUUGUGGGGGAGCCGUCGAAGGUGGGACUGGUGAUUAGGACUAA
rnacentral:rRNA from 1 species